CCACUUUUAAUUUUUUUUCAUCGCCACCCUUAGCAUCGCCCUUCACCAUCGUGUCAACCAUUGUGCGCCAUCAUGAAUCAUCACUCAUAUUUAUUUUUUUUCUCUUCUCCUUUCUCCCUUUUUUAUCAAGUGAUCAAAACCCUUUUCAUUUCUUCCUCUUCCGUCAGAUCGCCACCUCUGUCAUCAGACCAUCGUCGUCACUACCGUAGCACUGCCAUCGUCGUCGCUACCGUAGCACUACCAUCGAUGAUUGUGAUUUCUCCUAUUUUCUUCAUCAGUUUUCAACCUACA
rnacentral:lncRNA from 1 species